AAGUCGUAACAAGGUUUCCGUAGGUGAACCUGCGGAAGGAUCAUUAUCACGUUAUCCACGUUUAACCAACCGUGAACUGUUCGGUCCACAUAAGUGGGUUUGUUCCUACUGUGUGUUAGACCAAAACACCCAUUUGGGGGAAGGUCGCGCUGGGAGCAAUCCUGCCGCUUUCUUUUUUUGGGUUAUUUUGAACCAUUAACCAAUUGAACCCCUUUUUUAUAUACUUUUUAUGUACUUAUAAGUUGUUUCUUACCUUUUUGUUCAUUCAGAAAGGAAGAAAUGUUAUAUUACGUAACAUGAAAAAAAGAACAACUCUUAGCAACGGAUAUCUAGGUUCUC
rnacentral:misc_RNA from 1 species